rnacentral:rRNA from 1 species
UGGGGAAUUUUCCGCAAUGGGCGAAAGCCUGACGGAGCAAUACCGCGUGGGGGAGGAAGGCCUUUGGGUUGUAAACCUCUUUUCUUAGGGAAGAACAAUGACGGUACCUAAGGAAUAAGCAUCGGCUAACUCCGUGCCAGCAGCCGCGGUAAUACGUAGGGGGCGAGCGUUGUCCGGAAUUAUUGGGCGUAAAGAGCGUGUAGGCGGCCUGGUAAGUCUGUCGUGAAAUGCUGGGGCUCAACCCUGGACGUGCGAUGGAUACUGCUUGGCUAGAGGAUGGUAGAGGCGAGUGGAAUUCCCGGUGUAGCGGUGAAAUGCGCAGAUAUCGGGAGGAACACCAGUAGCGAAGGCGGCUCGCUGGGCCAUACCUGACGCCGAGACGCGAAAGCAUGGGGAGCGAACAGGAUUAGAUACCCCUGUAGUCC